rnacentral:miRNA from 10 species
AUCCCGGACGAGCCCCCACAUUGUCAUGGCCUAGGGUAACCAGACAAUGAUGGAGGACAGAGGCGUGGUUCUAGUUUCACAAUGAUCACG